rnacentral:lncRNA from 1 species
GUGGGUCUCCAGGCCAGCUGGUCCCUGCACUGGCUCCUGGUUAUCCAUCCUGUGUUUCUCCAGGCUGGAAGUCAGAGAGCCCCCCAGGGGCCUGGAAGGAUUCUCCAACACCUGCCCUGCUCCAACUGCUGAGGCAGUGUCAGCAACAGUACAGGCACAAGGUCACUGCUCUGGAGGGACACUGGCAUCUCUGGAGGACUGGAAUGGCCUGGGACCUCCACAUUAGACUAGGGGCUGGCUCUGUGACUCCAGAAAGUCCCACAUCCCAGGGCUUCAGUGCUCAGGUCUGCAAAGUGCCACUGCUGUCCAUGCCUUUGUUCCUUGACAGGUGCAGAGUCAGGGCGACGUAGAUGGGGUCAGAGAAAGCCAGGAAGGUCCCUGGGCAUCUAAGCAGAAACAGUUGGGUCUACCUUCCUGCCUCUUCGGCCUCGGGAAUGUCAGGUUUUUGUGCCUCGGUGUCCUCAUCUGAAUACUGGGUCAGUAAGAAUGGUUGACUCAUAACACUGGGCUGGCAGCUUAAAUGGAAUAGCAGUGAUGACACUGCAUCUGGGCUGGGAUGACGAGGCUCCGUAGGUAGAAACUUAAUUACUAGUAUGUGAGUCAUCUGAGGGCCCUGGAGAGAGGCAUCGCCAUGUACAGUGUGUGGAUGGGGAACGGGCAGCUUGGAUGUGCCCAAGACUACCAGGAGCAGUGUCUGCAGAGCAGAAGUAUAGGCCCAAGGCCCUUAUUUCCAUCAGGUCUGCCCAGCCUCUCAGCCCUAUCACCAGGGCAGCCCCAUCUGUCCCAGCUGCAUCCCAGAUCCAUUUUCUAGAGCCC